UACGUAGGGGGCAAGCGUUGUCCGGAAUCAUUGGGCGUAAAGCGCGUGUAGGCGGUUCGGUAAGUCUGCUGUGAAAGUCCAGGGCUCAACCCUGGAAUGCCAGUGGAAACUGUCGAGCUAGAGUCCGGAAGAGGCGAGUGGAAUUCCUGGUGUAGCGGUGAAAUGCGCAGAUAUCAGGAGGAACACCAAUGGCGAAGGCAGCUCGCUGGGAGGGUACUGACGCGGAGACGCGAAAGCGUGGGAGCAAACAGG
rnacentral:rRNA from 1 species